rnacentral:rRNA from 1 species
UACGUAGGUGGCAAGCGUUGUCCGGAAUUACUGGGUGUAAGGGGAGCGCAGGCGGGGAAGCAAGUCGGCUGUGAAAUGCAUAGGCUUAACCUAUGAAUUGCAGUUGAAACUGUUUUUCUUGAGUGGAGUAGAGGUAGGCGGAAUUCCGAGUGUAGCGGUGAAAUGCGUAGAUAUUCGGAGGAACACCAGUGGCGAAGGCGGCCUACUGGGCUCUAACUGACGCUGAGGCUCGAAAGUGUGGGGAGCAAACAGGAUUAGAUACCCUGGUAGU